rnacentral:lncRNA from 1 species
CCCCUCCACGUGAGGAGACCUUAGAAGCAUGGCAACCAUAGAAUUUCAUUAGAACCAUGGCAACCAUAGAACUUCAUAAUCCUCUCAGCCAGCCAGCAGCAUUGGCCUCCACAGACACAUCAAAUGGCAGCAGCUCUCCUCCCAGCCACAAAUGGAGCAUGGCCAUCAUCAACUUUGAUAGACAGCCAAGAUGGGGGGGAGGGUGUGUAUGUGUAUGUGUGUGUGUGUGUGUGAUUGUGUGUGAGAGAGAGUGUGUGUGUGGUGUGUGAGAGAGAGAGAGUGAGAGAGAGAGAGAGAGUGUGUGAGUGUGAGAGAGAGAGAGAGAGAGAGAGAGAGAGAGAGAGUGUGAGAGUGUGUGUGUGUGUGUGUGUGUGUGAGACCUGCUACUCUUUUUCAGCGUGAGGUUGUUGGCUCCAGAGGUUUGCCAGUUUUUCUGCUUCAUGCGUAUUAAACAUGAACCAUACUGGGAGAUGGUAAUGAGAACAGAACAGUUAACGCUCUCUGCCUGGGUCCUGUUGGAGCAUGCUGUAUGUGAGUGGGUGUGUCUGCACAUGUGCCUGUGUUUCUCCAACUGUUCCUCAGAGUACUGUAUUAUGUGUGUGUGUGUGUGAUCAUAAAGUUAGUGCUGAAGCUGAUGAGAUCAGGCUGAAGCUGAUGAGAUCCACUGUGCUGUGCUGAGAUGAGAUCCACUGUGCUGAGAUCCACUGUGCUGAGAUCCACUGUGUUGAGAUGAGAUCCACUGUGCUGUGCUGAGAUCCACUGUGCUGAGAUGAGAUCCACUGUGCUGAGAUGAGAUCCACUGUGCUGAGAUGAGAUCCACUGUGUUGAGAUGAGAUCCACUGUGCUGAGAAGAGAUCCACUGUGCUGAGAUGAAAUCCACUGUGCUGAGAUGAGAUCCACUGUGCUGAGAUGAGAUCCACUGUGUUGAGAUGAGAUCCACUGUUGAGAUGAGAUCCACUGUUGAGAUGAGAUCCACUGUGUUGAGAUGAGAUCCACUGUGUUGAGAUGAGAUCCACUGUGUUGAGAUGAGAUCCACUGUGUUGAGAUGAGAUGAGAUCCACUGUGUUGAGAUGAGAUGAGAUCCACUGUGUUGAGAUGAGAUCCACUGUGCUGAGAUGAGAUCCACUGUGCUGAGCUGAAAUCCACUGUGUUGAGAUGAGAUCCACUGUGUUGAGAUGAGAUCCACUGUGUUGAGAUGAGAUGAGAUCCACUGUGUUGAGAUGAGAUGAGAUCCACUGUGUUGAGAUGAGAUCCACUGUGUUGAGAUGAGAUCCACUGUGCUGAGAUGAGAUCCACUGUGCUGAGCUGAAAUCCACUGUGUUGAGAUGAGGUCCACUAUGCUGAGAUCCACUGUGUUGAGAUGAGAUCCACUGUGCUGAGAUGAGAUCCACUGUGCUGAGAUGAGAUCCACUGUGCUGAGAUGAGAUCCACUGUGUUGAGAUGAGAUCCACUGUGUUGAGAUGAGAUCCACUGUGCUGAGAUGAGAUCCACUGUGCUGAGAUGAGAUCCAGUGUACUGAGAUGAGGUCCACUGUGUUGAGAUGAGGUCCACUGUGUUGAGAUGAGGUCCACUGUGUUGAGAUGAGGUCCACUGUGUUGAGAUGAGGUCCACUGUGUUGAGAUGAGGUCCACUGUGUUGAGAUGAGCCUGCUAGGCUAAAUUCUGGUUAACACUUUUGGACUGUGUCGCAUUUCACUCUCACCCCUGGUCUCUCUCUCCCCAAGUCUCUCUCUCUGAAUUUAAUUAAAUUCACUAUCUCUCUACAGUCUCUCUCUCUACAGUCUCUCUCUCUACAGUCUCUCUCUCUACAGUCUCUCUCUCUAGUCUCUCUCUCUACAGUCUCUCUCUCUACAGUCUCUCUCUCUACAGUCUCUCUCUCUACAGUCUCUCUCUCUACAGUCUCUCUCUCUACAGUCUCUCUCUCUACAGUCUCUCUCUCUACAGUCUCUCUCUCUUUCUCACCUGCGGUGUCUCUUGAUGAGAAGUCUGUCCAUGUAACUGAGACUGUGUUGGGUGAACUCCACCUUCACUGGUCUUCUCUCAGCCCCACUGUCACUCAGGUCUGACUGGGUCCCCAUCACUUCCACUGAUACU